UACGGAGGAUGCGAGCGUUAUCCGGAUUUAUUGGGUUUAAAGGGUGCGUAGGCGGAGUGCCAAGUCAGCGGUAAAAAUUCGGGGCUCAACCCCGUCGUGCCGUUGAAACUGGCGCCCUUGAGUGGGCGAGAAGUAUGCGGAAUGCGUGGUGUAGCGGUGAAAUGCAUAGAUAUCACGCAGAACCCCGAUUGCGAAGGCAGCAUACCGGCGCCCGAUUGACGCUGAAGCACGAAAGCGUGGGUAUCGAACAGG
rnacentral:rRNA from 1 species